rnacentral:rRNA from 1 species
GACGAACGCUGGCGGCGUGCCUAAUACAUGCAAGUCGAACGCAGUGGGGACGGGUGAGUAACACGUGGGUAACCUCCCAUCAGAGGGGAUAACACUUGGAAACAGGUGCUAAACCGAUACUGAUGGAUGGACCCGCGGUGCAUUAGCUAGUUGGUAAGGUAACGGCCCACCAAGGACACGUUGCAUAGCCGACGUGUGAGAUUGAGCGGCAACACGUGGACUGAAACCAGGCCCAGACUCCUACGGUAGGCAGCAGUAGGGAAACUUCGGCAAUGGACGAAAGUCUGCCCGGGCGACGCCGCGUGACUGAAGAAGGUUUUCGGAUCGUAAAACUCUGUUAUUAGAGAAGCGGUAUCUACCCAGAAAGCCACGGCUAACUACGUGCCAGCAGCCGCGGUAAUAC